rnacentral:rRNA from 1 species
GACGAACCGAGCGAACGUUGUUCGGAAUCACUGGGCUUAAAGGGCGCGUAGGCGGGCUGUCAAGUCUGGGGUGAAAUCCCACGGCUCAACCCGUGGAACUGCCUUAGAUACUGACGGCCUCGAGGGAGAUAGGGGCGAGCGGAACUGUGAGUGGAGCGGUGAAAUGCGUUGAUAUUCACAGGAACUCCGGUGGCGAAGGCGGCUCGCUGGAUCUUUUCUGACGCUGAGGCGCGAAAGCUAGGGGAGCAAACGGG